UACGAAGGUCCCAAGCGUUAUCCGGAUUUAUUGGGCUUAAAGGGUGCGUAGGCGGGCUAUUAAGUCAGUGGUGAAAGCCCCAAGCUUAACUUGGGAACUGCCAUUGAUACUGAUGGUCUUGAGUACAGUUGAGGUGGGCGGAAUGUGUCAUGUAGCGGUGAAAUGCUUAGAUAUGACACAGAACACCGAUUGCGAAGGCAGCUCACUAAACUGUAACUGACGCUGAGGCACGAAAGCGUGGGGAGCAAACAGG
rnacentral:rRNA from 1 species